rnacentral:tRNA from 1 species
GCUAACUGGCAGAAUAGUGCAAUGGACUUAAGCCCCAUAUAUAAAGUUUUCUUUCUUUAGAA